rnacentral:rRNA from 1 species
UAGUCUGGGAAACUGCCUGAUGGAGGGGGGUAACUGCUGGAAACGGUAGCUAAUACCGCAUAACGUCGCAAGACCAAAGUGGGGGACCUUCGGGCCUCAUGCCAUCAGAUGUGCCCAGAUGGGAUUAGCUAGUAGGUGGGGUAACGGCUCACCUAGGCGACGAUCCCUAGCUGGUCUGAGAGGAUGACCAGCCACACUGGAGCUGAGACACGGUCCAG